rnacentral:lncRNA from 1 species
UGCGCACAGUGUGUGGCAGGGUUGCCUGCGUUAGUGCAAAACAUGCAGUAAGGCAUGCACGACGCUGUAGCGCACUGACAGCCAAGAAGAUUGCUAUUUGUCUUAUCAGCCAAGGCUGUGCUUGGCCUUGUUGUGGGCCCUAAACCUACUCUUUCAUUCCACCUCACCGAAUUUUGUCAAAUGGCAUGAAUCUGACUAUUCUUUCCCUUUUAUAAAUCCCUCCCCCCUUAAUUUUU